rnacentral:rRNA from 1 species
AUGGCUAUCUAUGAUACACUGUUUACGCGGCUUGAUGUGACAUUGUCUCAGCUUCUUGUUAUAGAUCGUGAUUUCCGGGAUCCAAGUUUUGGGCUCCAGCUUCAUGAGACUGAAUUUUGUUCAAGGCUAACAGUGAAAAUUUUAUUUGUAAAAUAUGGCGAUCCCUAUAGUGGUAUUUCUGAAGCUUCGCUAUGCUUGCUUUCCCACCAACAAGCAGUAAUCCAAUCACUGGUGCACCAGGUACUAUAUCAUCGGCCAUCCACCAGGACGAUGCUGACAGCCAAAGAAAGCUCCUUCCCCACGGCUGACAGCCGAAACCGCUCUUGUGCUCAUCAAGAUGUCCAGUUG